rnacentral:misc_RNA from 1 species
UCCAGUUUAUCACCGGCAGUCUCUGUAGAGUGCUCUAAGCCCUUGCGGACCUAGGUGGCAACAACAGACGUGGGUUGCGCUCGUUGCGGGACUUAACCCAACACUUCACAGCACGAGCUGACGACAGCCAUGCACCACCUGUGCUAGCUCUCGACUUGACGAGUCCAUCCGCUUUCACUUCAGUACUUCUAGCAUGUCAAACCUAGGUAAGGUUCUUCGCGUAGCGUCGAAUUGAACCACAUGUUCCACCGCUUGUGCGGGCCCCCGUCAAUUCCUUUGAGUUUCAUCCUUGCGGACGUACUCCCCAGGUGGAGGACUUAAUGGGUUACCUGCGGCACCGACCCUAAACGGGCCAACACCUAGUCCUCAACGUUUACAGCGUGGACUAC